AGCCGGGCGAUAAGCACAGUGCGAACUAUUCUUUCGCCUUUUACUAAAGAAUACCGUGUGCUUGCCGCAUCCACCGGCAUACGCUUAUUUUUGGAGGAUUUUCUCAAGAACGAGAAA
rfam:Cucumis melo, WGS project CAJI01000000 data, contig: 22290